GUUUUCAUUGUGUUCAAUCAGCUUGCUUGUUCUUAUAGAACAGUUUCUAUCAAAUUAGGAUCGCCCAUGACAGUGCGACCUAGUUUCGUGAUUUCGUGACAACGUGAGUGAGUUCCAAGUUUUCGUUAUCAUGUAGUUAGGUUUCAACAUAAAGGAAGAAAACAAAAAAUAAAAAAAAAAUAAAGGAAGAAAAUAAGUAAACAGGCCUAGUAAGCGACGUUUAGAUCAUUUCAGACGUUCUCUGAAACAAUGUCACGUUCUACCUUGGAUAUUGUGACAAACCUACAGAGUGUAGGCCUGGCACCCCACCCCCAGAGUAGCCUUGUUAUUAUAUUCAAGAUAUACGUUCCCUCAUGCGGAGCAAAAACAGACGGCUUUCUUUGAUAAUUUGGGAUUUCAUCAAUAAUGAAUGAACUCAUAUAACUUAUAACUGUUUUCGAUACAGAGUCCUAAGAUAUCUAUUUUAUUGGCUCUUUCGCCUGUUCCAAAUUCUUUUUUUGGUUCGAAAGUGGAAAAAAAAUCUAUUUUCAAAACAGUGUUAAGUUAUUUUGCUAUCUUCGUCUAAGCUAACAAAAACCAACGCACCGAAACUGUCGUUCGGUCUAAUGAGUGAAAGGCGUCCGUAUGAUACGUUUAUGAUGAUUGGUUUCUAUUUCAGUAAUAACAAACUAAGAUAUCAAGGUCGCCAUGGAUCAUCAGCUGGAUUCCUUCGAACAACAGGCAUAAAAUUAAAGUCAAUUUUUUUUACUGAUUUUUUUUUUUUCAAUUUUUCUCAAAGUAUUGGAUACACUUCUGACAAAUUUUAAAUAUUUGUAAGACUGCACCAGGCAGGUGCUUAUUAGAGUAACAAAUAACUAUAUAGCGUAUACAGCAAAAAUUCGUGAGGCAGGCUUGAGAUCAGGAGGUCAAAGAUCUGCGCCAGUAAUUGGUUGAAAAAAUGUAAACCAAUCAAUGGGUGUUCCAAGUUUGCUUGACGGAUCUAAUUUCUGAGAAAUCUCGAAUAGUUCAGCUCAACACUGCAGACGCCAUCAACAUUCAACGCCGAGAAAGCACACUCCAAAGUCAUACGCAGCAGAUACGAGUAAUGGCAGUGGUACUGAAGCUGAUUUCCAAAUCGAUCGUAUGCAGUUGGCUUGAAUAUAGAGUAGUUAAAAUAACAGUGAUAACCUGUCACCGUGCUCAGAGAUUCCUAUCAAACAGCCAGGAGUUGAAGCAAACAAAAAGGUCUGACAAGAUCAUAUUCUUUGCAACAAUCAUCGACCACGUAAAUGAUAUGCACAACGCGGCUGUCCCUUAUGAACCGGGAUGAGACCUGUAUCACUGAUCCUCGCUCAGUUAACAAAUCCUGUGCAAGUAUGGUGUAUGGCCUCUUUUUUCACGAGAGGUAUGUUAUUUGCAUGUAUAUGCAAAACAGGUCGAUUUAUUAAUCUGGAAAUACAGGAAGACUCUUCACUAAGUUUUAUGCUUGUUAUUCAAAUAGGUAGACACGAGCGGAGACUGGGGGAAAACUUUUGUCCUUUAACUUUCAAUGUUUUGAACGUCACGCAUGUAAACGCGCGUGGUUCUGCCUCCAUUGAAGACGUUAAACGAGCUGACAAGGAUAGCUGGCAAGCAAGAAGGGUGAGAAACAUCUUGGUGUGGAAAGCGAAGUAGAAUAGAAGUGGAAGCAUCCGUACAAGGCGAUACACGUUUUAACAGAGAUGAUCAUAUUGGUCGUUGUUUUCGUGAACGCAACACUGGGUACAUUCUUUGUAAUAGUCCACAUAAUCAGGUACCAAAACCAACAAUGGGCAGGAAUUCAAGACUUUGUGAGUAUAUUUGUUUGCCUCUUAUAAAAAUA